rnacentral:rRNA from 1 species
GUGGGGAAUAUUGGACAAUGGGCGAAAGCCUGAUCCAGCCAUGCCGCGUGUGUGAAGAAGGUCUUCGGAUUGUAAAGCACUUUAAGUUGGGAGGAAGGGUAGUAACUUAAUACGUUGCUACUUUGACGUUACCGACAGAAUAAGCACCGGCUAACUUCGUGCCAGCAGCCGCGGUAAUACGAAGGGUGCAAGCGUUAAUCGGAAUUACUGGGCGUAAAGCGCGCGUAGGUGGUUCAGUAAGUUGGAUGUGAAAUCCCCGGGCUCAACCUGGGAACUGCAUCCAAAACUGCUGAGCUAGAGUACGGUAGAGGGUGGUGGAAUUUCCUGUGUAGCGGUGAAAUGCGUAGAUAUAGGAAGGAACACCAGUGGCGAAGGCGACCACCUGGACUGAUACUGACACUGAGGUGCGAAAGCGUGGGGAGCAAACAGGAUUAGAUACCCGAGUAGUCC